UCUCGGCAACGGAUAUCUCGGCUCUCGCAUCGAUGAAGAACGUAGCGAAAUGCGAUACUUGGUGUGAAUUGCAGAAUCCCGUGAACCAUCGAGUCUUUGAACGCAAGUUGCGCCCGAAGCCAUCAGGUCGAGGGCCACGUCUGCCUGGGCGUCACACGC
rnacentral:rRNA from 1 species